UGUGUCUGUGAGGGUGUUAAUUAUUGCCCAGGAUGGUCUCAACCUGUGAGGGUGUUGCCAAAGGAAACUAACAUUUGAUUCAGUGGGAUAGGAAAGGCAGACCUACCUUUAAUCAGGUGGGCACCAUCUAAUCAGCUGCAAGCCAAUAUGUAGUGGGCAGAAAAAUUUAAAGCAAUGAGAGGGGCCUAACCUCUCAGCUUACAUCUUUCUCCCAUGCUGGCUGUUUCCUGCCUUCGAACAUGGGACUCCAAGUUAUUCAGUUUUGGGAUUCAGACUGGCUCUCCUUUCUCCUCAGCUUUCAGACAGUCUAUUUUGGGGCCUUUUAUUUAAGAACUAACAGCUUCACCAACCCCAGUAGUGGCAACAUCCCCUCCCAGACUUUCCACCUUUAUCUGAGGAGAUAAACCCUGCUCUGCCUAAAGCAACAGUGAUGACCUCCCCUGAGGCAGUUCCCAGGUGAGAUAAUGUUGAUUCUCCUCAGAAGCCACCCCCAACACCUCUGUU
rnacentral:lncRNA from 1 species